AUUGAACGCGGCGGCAGGCUUCACACAUGCAAGUCGAGCGGGGAAGGGUAGCUUGCUACCUGACCUAGCGGCGGACGGGUGAGUAAUGUUUAGGAAUCUGUCUAUUAGUGGGGGACAACAUUCCGAAAGGAAUGCUAAUACCGCAUACGCCCUACGGGGGAAAGCAGGGGAUCUUCGGACCUUGCGCUCAUAGAUGAGCCUAAGUCAGAUUAGCUAGUUGGUGGGGUAAAGGCCUACCAAGGCGACGAUCUGUAGCGGGUCUGAGAGGAUGAUCCGCCACACUGGGACUGAGACACGGCCCAGACUCCUACGGGAGGCAGCAGUGGGGAAUAUUGGACAAUGGGCGCAAGCCUGAUCCAGCCAUGCCGCGUGUGUGAAGAAGGCCUUUUGGUUGCAAAGCACUUUAAGCGAGGAGGAGGCUACUUGGAUUAAUACUCUAGGAUAGUGGACGUUACUCGCAGAAUAAGCACCGGCUAACUCUGUGCCAGCAGCCGCGGUAAUACAGAGGGUGCGAGCGUUAAUCGGAUUUACUGGGCGUAAAGCGUGCGUAGGCGGCUUUUUAAGUCGGAUGUGAAAUCCCUGAGCUUAACUUAGGAAUUGCAUUCGAUACUGGGAAGCUAGAGUAUGGGAGAGGAUGGUAGAAUUCCAGGUGUAGCGGUGAAAUGCGUAGAGAUCUGGAGGAAUACCGAUGGCGAAGGCAGCCAUCUGGCCUAAUACUGACGCUGAGGUACGAAAGCAUGGGGAGCAAACAGG
rnacentral:rRNA from 1 species